ACACGACUACAUUAGAUACCCCUGUAGUCCUAGCCGUAAACGAUACUCGCUAGGUGUCGGCCACGGUGCGACCGUUGUCGGUGCCGUAGGGAAGCCGUGAAGCGAGCCACCUGGGAAGUACGGCCGCAAGGCUGGAAACUUAAAGGAAUUGGCGGGGGAGCACAACAACGGGUGGAGCUUGCGGUUUAAUUGGAUUCAACGCCGGAAAUCUUACCGGGACCGACAGCAACAUGAAGGCCAAGCUGAAGACUUUGCCGGAUUAGCUG
rnacentral:rRNA from 1 species